rnacentral:lncRNA from 1 species
AGGAAGAAAAGGAGAAGUAUCACUCUUUUUGCUGCACAAAUGUGAAAACUCACAAUAAAGAGAAGGGAGAAAGAGUGCCUGAAGGAUCAAUGUCGUACCCACACCUCUGACUUCUCACAUUUACAAUUGGUAGCAAGGAGGAACAGCAGCUGCCUUCAUUUGUAGCAGCCCUUCUCUGCAAGAUGAACAGCGGUCUUUUUAUUCUGCCACACUGAUUGAUUUCCUAAAGGUCUUUUGGUGACAGUGUCUCCCGGAAGUACAGAAAAACCCCAAUAAUUGAUAUGGGAUUAUAUAAAUAAAAAUAAGAGAUUUUCACACCUGAAAAAC